rnacentral:lncRNA from 1 species
CAGUACCAAGUAAUCUGUCUUUCCCCCAGCGGGCUGGACUUCACAGCGCCUUCCGCAACGAAUCGCUUGCAGCGGGAUGGGAUGCAACUUCUUGUAAUUGGAUCGCAGACAUCCCUUUGAAGUCAUAGGCUUAUAGUGUGAACGACUCAGAGCAAGGAGCUGUGAAAUGUGCCUUUGAGCCAUAGACUUCUUGAAGAGUAUCACAAGGCAUGUACGACUGGGGUACACGACAUCUUCAAAUCACCGUGGCUUUAUUGCUGUUUUGUUCAGUUGCAGCAAGGGAAAAUGAGGCUUAAGUGAUAAUCGGGU